GGGACCGUCGCCGAUAAUAGAAUGCUGGUGGAGUCUUCCAUUGGACUACUUUUAUUCCUCCUGCACCCCAGACAACAGGAUGCAGACGGAAACCUUCGUUCAACUUCUUUUAUUGCUCGUCACUGCAAGCCAGGGCACCUGCAAAAUGGUGAACCUUACUGCAGAAGCUGAGGCAUACCUCAGUAAAACCGUUUUCUCGGGCUGGAAAAGCUGAGGUCUGGAUGAAAACUACGAGUACUGGACUGGGCGCCAUCAAAUUGAUCCAGAACCGUGCUGAUGCCAUGCCGUCCGGCGGUCCAAGCUACGGCACCUACUGCUGUGUGUCAUGGUGCUUUAACAACCGAAGAACCCAGAAGAAGCCUAUCUUGCCUUGGAAGGAAAACAUUGCCGAAACCCUGUCUCUUUGAUAGAUAUGACCGCUUGUACCAAAACACAGAAGACAAACGCGAUGGAUAAAGCCGUAGUGAAUUAUGUUUACCUCUACCUCCACCUGUUAUAACUUAAUCGAAAUAAAAAUUGCGUCACGCCCUCAA